AUGUUUCUCAGAAGUUCUGUCGUCAGCAUCACUGACGACUGUCCCAUUAAAGACUGGUCAGACCAUAUCUCUCUCUCUCUCUCUCUCUCUCUCUCUUCUCUUUACCCUCUGUCUCUCUGUCUCUCUCUCUCUCUCUCUCUCUUCUCUUUACCCUCUGUCUCUCUGUCUCUCUCUCUCUCUCUUCUCUUUACCCUCUGUCUCUCUGUCUAUCUCUCUCUCUCUAUUCUCUUUACCCUCUGUCUCUCUGUCUAUUUCUCUCUCUCUCUUCUCUUUACCCUCUGUCUAUCUCUCUCUCUCUCUCUCUCUCUCUCUCUUCUCUUUACCCUCUGUCUAUCUCUCUCUCUCUCUCUCUCUUCUCUUUACCCUCUGUCUAUCUCUCUCUCUCUCUCUUCUCUUUACCCUCUGUCUAUCUCUCUCUCGCUCUCUCUUCUCUUUACCCUCUGUCUAUCUCUCUCUCUCUCUUCUCUUUACCCUCUGUCUAUCUCUCUCAUUCUCACUCUCUCUCACUCUAUUCAUUCUGUCUAUUUCUCUCUCUGUCAUUUCUGUUUUUCUCUAUUCCCUUUCUUUCUCUCUCUUUACCAUCUGUCUCCUCUCUCUCACCCUCUCUCUCUCUCCCUCCCUCCCUCCCUCUCUCUUUCUCUCUUCUCAAUCCCCAUUCCCCUCUAUAUCUGUCUUAUCUCACUCUUUCCCCUCUCUCUGUCUCUCUUUUCCCUCUCUCUGUCUCUCUUUCCCCUCUCUCUGUCUCUCUUUUCCCUCUCUCUGUCUCUCUUUACCCUCUCUCUGUCUCUCUUUCCUCUCUCUCUGUCUCUCUUUCCCCUCUCUCUGUCUCUCUUUCCCCUCUCUCUGUCUCUCUUUUCCCUCUCUCUGUCUCUCUUUCCCCUCUCUCUGUCUCUCUUUCCCCUCUCUCUGUCUCUCUUUUCCCUCUCUCUGUCUCUCUUUCCCUCUCUCUGUCUCUCUUUCCCCUCUCUCUGUCUCUCUUUCCCCUCUCUCUGUCUCUCUUUCCCCUCUCUCUGUCUCUCUUUCCCCUCUCUCUGUCUCUCUUUUCCCUCUCUCUGUCUCUCUUUUCCCUCUCUCUGUCUCUCUUUCCCCUCUCUCUGUCUCUCUUUUCCCUCUCUCUGUCUCUCUUUUCCCUCUCUCUGUCUCUCUUUCCCCUCUCUCUGUCUCUCUUUCCCCUCUCUCUGUCUCUCUUUCCCCUCUCUCUGUCUCUCUUUCCCCUCUCUCUGUCUCUCUUUCCCCUCUCUCUGUCUCUCUUUCCCCUCUCUCUGUCUCUCUUUUCCCUCUAUCUUAGUUGUCGCCCUCUUUCUGUUCCCUCCCUUCUAUCUGACUAUGUUUUUGUUUAAUGAGGUUAGACAUCUAGUUGGAUGUCUGCCAUUAUCCAUGAUAUUACGGCAGGUCAGGGAAAUAAUCAAUAGCCGUAACAUCAAUACAACAUUUACAUUAUCUACUACGCACCAAACACUGUUGACAGGGUAUAAUCAUUGCGUCCAUCCACAGAGGCUGGCUGUUGGGUCACAAAGGGUUUCAUGUUCCUGUCUGUCUGAGUACCAAGAUGUAGACCAGUAG
ensembl:lncRNA